rnacentral:rRNA from 1 species
UACGUAGGGUGCGAGCGUUAAUCGGAAUUACUGGGCGUAAAGUGUGCGCAGGCGGCUUCGCAAGUCGAGUGUGAAAUCCCCGAGCUUAACUUGGGAAUUGCGCUCGAAACUACGAAGCUGGAGUGUGGCAGAGGAAGGUGGAAUUCCACGUGUAGCGGUGAAAUGCGUAGAGAUGUGGAGGAACACCGAUGGCGAAGGCAGCCUUCUGGGCCAACACUGACGCUCAUGCACGAAAGCGGUGGGGAGCAAACAGG